UACAGAGGGGGCAAGCGUUAUUCGGAAUUAUUGGGCGUAAAGGGCGCGUAGGCGGCUUGGCAAGUGGAAGGUGAAAUCCCUCGGCUUAACCGAGGAACUGCCUUCCAGACUGCUUUGCUUGAGGCCGGGAGAGGCGAGUGGAAUUCCCAGUGUAGCGGUGAAAUGCGUAGAUAUUGGGAGGAACACCUGUGGCGAAGGCGGCUUUCUGGACAAUCACUGACGCUGAGGCGCGAAAGCUAGGGGAGCAAACGGG
rnacentral:rRNA from 1 species